rnacentral:rRNA from 1 species
GACCGGCGCACGGGUGAGUAACGCGUAUGCAACCUGCCUGAUACCGGGGUAUAGCCCAUGGAAACGUGGAUUAACACCCCAUAGUACUUUUAUCCUGCAUGGGAUGUGAGUUAAAUGUUCAAGGUAUCGGAUGGGCAUGCGUCCUAUUAGUUAGUUGGCGGGGUAACAGCCCACCAAGACGAUGAUAGGUAGGGGUUCUGAGAGGAAGGUCCCCCACAUUGGAACUGAGACACGGUCCAA